rnacentral:rRNA from 1 species
GACGAACGCUGGCGGCGUGCCUAAUACAUGCAAGUCGAACGAGAGCGCCCGGUGCUUGCACUGGUCAAUCUAGUGGCGAACGGGUGAGUAACACGUGGGUAACCUGCCCAUCAGAGGGGGAUAACAUCCGGAAACGGAUGCUAAAACCGCAUAGGUCUUCGAACCGCAUGGUUUGAAGAGGAAAAGAGGCGCAAGCUUCUGCUGAUGGAUGGACCCGCGGUGCAUUAGCUAGUUGGUGGGGUAACGGCUCACCAAGGCCGUGAUGCAUAGCCGACCUGAGAGGGUGAUCGGCCACAUUGGGACUGAGACACGGCCCAAACUCCUACGGGAGGCAGCAGUAGGGAAUCUUCCGCAAUGGACGCAAGUCUGACGGAGCAACGCCGCGUGAGUGAAGAAGGUUUUCGGAUCGUAAAACUCUGUUGUUAGAGAAGAACAAGUGCUAGAGUAACUGUUAGCGCCUUGACGGUAUCUAACCAGAAAGCCACGGCUAACUACGUG